ACAAAGCAAAAUGUAAGCAGGACAAGUGUGAAUGUUCAUCCAGCAAUGAUGAAUUAACAUAUGUGAUUGGCACUUCUCCUUCCCUGUGGUUCUGCAUUGAAUCUUGCAGCCCUGGUGACAGCAGUUGUCCUGACAACACCACGUGUACGGUCACUUCUCGCGUUAGCAAUUACCGGUGUCAGUGUUCACUAGACUCCACACAUUCAUCUACAGGGCAAUGCCUCGCUCCAAGCGUUAAGACUACUACCAGUACACCGAAUAACGGAGUCACAGGUUUGAGACCUGUGGUAUGUAACAGUAAAACAAAAUGUGGAUAUGGAUCAAGAUGUCAUAGAACCACUGGGCAAUGUGUAUGCCGGUCCGACAACGAGACACUGUGGAAACAGAAUGGCAAUCCUUUUAAUCUGUUUUAUUGUGUGGUGGAAAAAAUACGGGCAAAACCGGUGGGAAUCCACGACAAUCGGCAGGUUCCUGUCAGACCUUCUCGCGUACGACCUGAGAGGAGACCAACAUGGGGUUGACGAGCUCACAGCGACAGCAUUGGU